rnacentral:lncRNA from 1 species
UUUUCUCCUUCUCAGACUUAGGAUUUCAAAUUCAGCCUUCUCAAAUCUUUCCUAAUAGUAUUGUGCCUUCUUCGUCAGAUACAUCUUGUCUUAUUUUCUCUAAUCUCUAAUCUCUAAUCUCUUAUAUUCUUUCUUUUUCACCUUCUCAUUUUUAUACUAAUGUUCUCUUUUUCAAUUUUGUUUUUAUCACACAUCCUCUUCUCUAAUCUCUGAUAUCUUCAGUUAUUUCUUUUUCAUCUUCACUGAUCUCUUAUCUCCUUUUAUUUUUUUUGUUUCAUUAUAAUAUUUUUGAUAUUGUUUUAGGUUUAUUAUUCCACCUUUGUCUAAUAUGAUUUUUAAAUAUUAAAUGAGAUGUUGUUGUACAAAUAAAAUGAAUUUUAU